AGAGCCAUGAAAUAAUCAGGAGACAAACUUUUGGGGACUUUUGAUUGACUAGAUGUAGCAACGCUGUGGAAGACUUCUGGCCUGCCAUUUCCUGAGAAUGGGACUGCUAAGAGAGGAGCUGGGAGGAGCGCUGCAAAUUUCGCUUUGGACACCUGAGUCAGCGGUAUCUGUAAAGGGACCUAGUUGGGAGACCAAGCAGGCAAUUUGACAUGUGGGCCAGGAGCACAGAGAAGGGGCUUGAGGAUGCAUAUUUGGGUAUUGCCAUGGUUCCAAUGUCCCCUCCAAAACUCAUGUUGAAACUUAAUCCUCCAAGUGGCAGCAUGGAAAGGUGGGGUCUUUAAGAAGUGACUGGAUCAUGAAGGCUCUAUUCUCAUUAUUGAAUGAAUUAAUCAUGGGAGAACUGGCGGCUUUAUAAGAAGAGAAAGCAAGUCCUGUGCUAGCACCUUAGCCCCCUUACCAUGUCAUGCCCUGAACCCCUCAGGACUCUGCAGAGUCCCCAUCAGCAAGAGAGCUCUCACCAAAUGCAGCCCCUCAACUUUGGACUUCUCAGCCUUCAGAGCUGUAAGAAAUAAAUUCCCUUUCUUUUUAAAUUACCCAGUUUCAGAUAUUCAUUUUUUAAAUUUUAUUAUUAUUAUUAUUAUUUUUGAGAUGGAGUCUCACUCUGUUGCCCAAGCUGGAGUGCAGUGGUGCAAUCUCAGCAUACUGCCACCUCCACUCCCUGGGUUCAAACAAUUCUCCUGCCUCUGUUUCUUGAGUAGCUAUUACAGGCGCCUGCCACUGUGCCCAGCUAAUUUUUGCAUUUUUAGUAGAGACAGGGUUUCACCCUCUUGGCCAGGCUGGUCUUGAACCCCUGACCUGGUGAUCCACCCUCCUUGGUCUCCCAAAGUGCUGGGAUUACAGGUGUGAGCUACUGCACCUGAUUCCAGUUUCAGAUAUUCUGUUAUAAGCAACAGAAAUAGACUAACUAUCUUUGACAUGGAGUGGGUACUGGAAGUCAUGUGAUUUCUGUGGAAUCAUCUUGAAAGAAAGCGUAAAAUGAGAAGACACAAGGGCCCAGGAAAGAGCCCUAGGGAGCUCAGCAUUUGCCCAGGAAAAGGGAGAAGAGGAAGGAGCCUGUUACGAAUCUGAGGAGGAGCAGCCAGAGGAGGGGGAACUCAGGAAAGCAUGCUGGUGUGGGAGUCAGGAGAAGUGUGUCAGAAGGGAGCAGUUGACAAUGUCAGAAGCUGCCAAGAGGCACAGUAAGAUUGAGGGAGGAAGUGAGUGCGGCUGUUUCCUUUUGGGCCAGAAUUUCAAAACACCAGGAUGAAAGGGCAUCUAACAAAUAGCAAGUAUGCAAACUAACUUUUGUACCUACCAGACUUCAGACUAAAACUAGUACAAGGGAUAGUUGCCAGGGUAAGGAGAAGCCCAGGAAAUUACAAGAGAAUGUCCAGUUUCUAAAAUGACUUACAAACAAUUAUCAUCCAAACAAAUAGUAUGAAAAAAUAUACACCUGAAAAAAUGCGUGAAAAUGGCCAAGAAAACACUGAAAAUCAAGGUUAAUGGAGGAAGAUUUUACUGCCAGUUAUUAAAAUUUACUAUCAGCUGUGCUGACUGGAACUGCCAGAAUAGAUAACAAGCCAGGAUGGGAAGCCCUGAUACAUGACUUUGGUGGGGACUGUAGGUAGCUCCUCUGGCUACCUUCUUUCCAGUUGAAUAGGUUGGAUAUCUAACUCCCUUGCAACUAGGUUCAGCUACUCAGGUGUCCUUAAGUUAGACUUGAAAGGCAGAGAGCAGAGGCCAUUUUCCUGCUGUUUCUGAUGGAGAUGCAGGGCUUCCAUAGGAAAGAGGGGUCCACCUGUAUAAAGAUCCCAACAGCCAUAUUCUCCAGGUGUUCAGUCCCUCUUUGCCCCUCCAAAACCAAGUGACAGUCCAAGAGACUCUGCCCAUGGAGACUCCACCUGCUGGUCCUCCAGGUGGAGUAACUGAUAACAAGUCUCUAGCUUACUCCUAAGUGUUUAUUCUGAAGGCAGAGUAUGUGCAGCAAGACCAGAUUUUUGGCCCAGCUAGCAUUGACUACUGCAAUGUCAAAAGAGCACACAAACAGACUUGAAAAGCAAAUGACAAACUGGGAAAAAUGGCUGUAACAUAGGCAGCAAAAGGCUGACAUUCUAUAAAGAGUUCUUGCAUAUGAAUAAGACAAAGAUGAAUCCAAGCGGGCAAAAGUUUAUGUUUAGGCAAUUGGCAAAACUGAUGCAUAAAAACAGGUUUAACAUUAUUAAUAAUUAAUGGCAUAAAGCUUAAAACAAUAAUACAAGACCAUUGUUCCAUUACAUUGUCAAAGAUGACAAUAAAAUGAUGUGACAGUGAAGGAUGUGGAGAAAAGUUGGUAUCAAAGCUGUGCCAUCUUUCUGUAUAUCUUUCAUAUUAAUCAAACACCUUCAACAAUGAGCACACCUUUUGACACCAGUUCCCAGACUUUAUUCUGAAUAAAAUGACAUGCACACAGAUUUAGCUACAAGUACUUUUGCAAAAGUUAAAAGUUGAAAACAACCCAAAUGUACAAAAAUAAGAGAGAUAAUUAUGGUACAUUUGUAUAAUGGUAUGCCACUUGGUCAUUAAAAAUGCCAUAGAAGGCCGGGCGUGGUGGCUCACGCCUGUAAUCCCAGCACUUUGGGUGGCCAAGGCAGGCGGAUCACCUGAGGUCAGGAGUUUAAGACCAGCCUGACCAACAUGGAGAAACCCAGGCAUUGUGGCGCAUGCCUGUAAUCCCAGUUACUCAGGAGGCUGAGGCAGGAGAAUCGCUUGAAUGAUAGAGAGGUUACAGUAAGCCAUGAUCAUGCCAUUGCACUCCAGUCAGGGCAACAAGAGCGAAAACUCCAUCUCAAAAAAAAAAAUGCCAUAUAAGUAUAUCUUUUGACAGGCUUAUUUCUGGCUUCUGGUUUUAGGUGGUUUUUGUUUUUUAAUUUUAUUUAUGGUUUACUAUUUUCCUGUAAUUAUUGCAUAUUUUUUAAUAAUGAUUUUUUAAACUGGCAAUUAUAUGGUGAAAAGGAGAGAAAGGCAUUAGUAAAUUCUGAAGCGACUGAAAUUAAAUUGUAACUCAUCAUUAAUAAAUAAGCAUCAAGGCCAACAUGGUGAAACUCCGUCUCUACUACAGAUACAAAAAAUUAGCCGGGUGUGGUGGUAUGUGCCUGUAAUCCCAGCUACUUGGGAGGCUGAGGCAGGAGAAUCGCUUGAACCCAGGAGGCAGAGGUUGCAGUGAGCCAAGAUCGCGCCUUUGCACUCCAGCCUAGGUAACAGGGAGAGACUCCGUCUCAAAAAAAAAGUAUAUAUAUAAACAAACAAGUAAACAUCAUUACAUACUAACAUUUACCUAAAAUAAACUAGAUUUCAUUUACCUGAAAUAAACUAGAUUUUGUUUUUCUACUAUGGGAGGAAAGACCUAAAAUAAAAAUGGACUUGAAUUAUAGAAAAUAAAGUUACAAUUCAGGCAUAUGUCUUUGAACUGAAAUUUGUACCUGUUAUGUGUGUAUAAAAAAUAUAUCCACUAGUUUAAAACAGUGGUUCCUUUCAGGGGUGGUGUUAGAGGGAGGCAGGAGACAAUUUUUUGUUUACACAACUCUAUUUGACUUGUUAUAACAAGCAUGAAAAAUCAAAGGUCACUUAAAAAGUAAAAAUGGUUAUAAUUAUGAAAAUACUUAGAAAUAUGUAAAGUAUCUACAGUAUGAUCAUUAGAAAUCAUAUAUAUCACAGUAUACUGUGCUUAUAACUAUGUUCUUCAUAUAUUUCCAUGUGAAAGAAGCCUGAACAGAAUACUCUGCAAUGAAAAUAGUGUUUAAGUUAAUUCAUUCCUUCAUUUAUUCCACAAAUGUGUGCUGAGCUGCUACUAUAGGCCGGGCAACUGUUGUAGGCACCUGGGAUAUAGCAGGCAAUCAAAAGUCAAAUGUGCCUCCACUCAGGGAACCUAAAUUCUAGUAGCAGGAGACAGACAAUACAUGGUUAACACAGUGAGUAUUUAGGAGGUGUGAGUUCGUGCCAUGAGAAAAGUGGAGCAGGCCAAGGGAGACUAGCAGUGCUCUGGGUCAGGGGCAGGUUUGAAUAGGUUGGUCAGGAAAGGCCUCACUGAGGUGACAUGGGAGGAAGACUCGGAAGAGCUGAACGGGUCUGUCCUGGAAAUGCCUGGAAGAGGAGUUUUGCAAGUAGAAAACAGCCAGUGCAGAGGCCAGUGCAGCUGACAGAGACAGCUAAGCAGGCCAGUGGGUUGUCCGGCUCUGCGACCGUUGUAAAGACUUUAGCGUUUUAUUUCAUGCAAACUAAGAAGCCACUGUGCGGUUUGGAGCAAAGAAACGACAGGAUUCCCGUGGCUGCUGUGCGGAAAUGACAGCUACUGGGAGGGUGGAGAGGACAGGGUGACCUAGGUGUUCAGGUGAGAGAUGAAGCGGGGCUGUGGAUAUGCCGAGAUGAUGCAGCCUAGACACAGACUGAAGGCAGAGUCAACAGGGUUUCUAAUCAGAUUGUGUCAACAGCGUGAGAGAGUGAGGCUGGCUCUUCGGGUUCUGGCUUGAGUGAAGGGAGCCGCCAUUAAUGAUGAUGGGAAAGACAGGUGGGCGGAGGUUUGGAGAUGGGGGAAGAAAAGGGUCUUAUUUUUUUCCUCCUUGGAAUAAUAUAUUCCAAGCAAUAUAUAAUUAAGCAAUAUGUAUUUUUUCCAUUAAGAAAGUCCCAAAUAUUAUACUGUUCCAAAUAAAAAAAUCAUUUCAAGACUCCUGACGCAGCAACCAUUACAAUCCCAGUACUGUUAAUGUUCCAGUCAAGUCAGUCCGUGCUCUGGAGACAUCCCAUGACGCAACACAGGCCAGGAGACCAGGCCUAGAUUCCGGUUUUCGAAAAAGGGGGCAAAAACGGAGGCUGCAAAUCCAUCCCCAGUCCUGGCAAGAUUCUCGAAAAUGGCGGGAGAGGGCUGCAUAAGAACUUCAAAAACGAGCAGCGGGUUCCUUGGAUUCAGCGUGAGGGGAAAAAACCGCGGGGCAAUUUUGGAACUUAAGAGUCCAUGUUUGAAGGAGCCGGAGGCUGCCUGCGAGGAGCCCCGGGCACGACUGUUAGGGCCGCGCCGGCCAGGCCGCCCUCCUCCAGGCAGCCUCGGUUGGGCCGCUUCCGCGCCGGCGGGCCCGGCCGCAGGUACCUGGCCAGCACUUGUCCGAGGGCAGCGCGGGCGCACCCUGCAAGAGUCCUGUCUCGUCAAGAGAGGCAGCGAGAGACAGCAGCAAUGAACGAAACAGAAUCUUCCUCAACUACUGCUACACAAGAGCCCCCAGCCGAGGAGCAGGAACACACAAGCCCCGGUGCUUUCUGAAAACCUUGUCGCCAGGACCCGCGACAAGCAGGGGAGCAGCGCUCUUUUCGAAAAGCCAGGCCAAGCGGGCCGUUGCUGGGCGACCUUUGGGCGGAGGGAGAGGGCAGGGCUGCCCCGCACCGGCUCCGUCCUCACUUCAGCAUCCUCGCCCCGCCCCUCCCGCUCAAGCCCCACCUAGCACCCGGAGGGCUGACGCAUGCGUGCUUCUUCCCGCGUGGCUCCAGGAGCCGCGCGCUCCCACAGCCGGCCAGUCUCUUCUGCCCCGCCCCCUCCUGUUAACACCGAAAUCUGCCUCCUGGGCCAUGCGGCUUCUAAGACCUGUUUCUUCUCAUGAGCCCCAGCAGAAGAUUAUGGGCCAGUUCUCACAGUGGAUAACUUCCCCUGCUUGAGCAAGAGAUGGGAUAGUAUCUGGGAUCUGUCUAUCACCAGACUCUGAGCUUAAUAAGGCAGCUGAAUGAAGGGAUGUAACGGACCCCUGAGAGUGGCACUGAAGUCUGCAGUGGGGGGGGAGGGGCCUGGACACACCCCUUCCCCCCCAGACUCCUCCCCUUCAGGGUCAGCUCAGCCAUGGACUUUGGACCUGGAUAGGAAGAGAGAAGCUGCACUUUGUUUGGUGGAUCUGAUUUGGGAUUCUCAGUUUUGGAAAAGGAGUGCUGGAUGGGGGCUUGACGAUCUCCAGGGGAGCAGCUGAGACAAGAAAGGUGCUGAUGGCUGCAUAAUGAAUCACCCCAGAACUUAGUGGCUUACAACAACAGACUCAUUUUAUUAACGUCUCAGCUAUGUGGUUUUUGCUUGUGGUCUUUCAUGUGGUUGCAGUCAGGUAAUAGUGCAAGCAGUCUUCCAUCUAGCCACUUGAACCUCAUACAUGUGCCAAGUACUGUGAUGGGCACAAAGGUCAUAGAGUCUUCCUCCUAAGGAGGAAGGUGGGAGUCAGGUAAGUAUGGCCACAGAUCCUGUUACAGCAUGGAGAGAGUGCUGUGGGAGUGUAGCCUGGCUCUGUGAUGUUACAAAAGGAGUCACCUGAAGUGGCUUGAAAGGAUGUGUGGGUGGCUGGCAGGCAGUGCCAUGGGUCUUGUUUCAGGAUGAGGGACCAGCUGGAGCAAAGACACAGCAGUGUCCAAGUGUACUUAUCGGGGAAAAAGCAGCUUGCUGAGGCCAGAGUGCAGGGUUCAUGGGGUUAGUGGUUGGAUGUAAGGUUGAAAAAGGAUAUUUGAGCCAGUCUGUAUGAAGGGCUUUGUAUGUCAUAAUAAUGAGCUUGAGUUUUAUUUUGUGGGCAUUGCAGCCUCUGAUGGUUUUUAAGGCAAGUUAGUGUCGUGACCAGGCGUGCUCGUCAGGAGGGAUGUGCUGUUGCUGUUGGAAAGGUUUGUGAGAGGGAAGCAAGAUUAGUGACAGACCUGCUGGGAAACUACAUCAAGAGUCAGACUUAAAACAGUAUUUCAUACGAAGGAAUGAGUUCAGGUUAAAGGGCUGGGGGUCUUGACAUGGGAUGCAGUGAAUGAGUAACUUUGUACUCCCCUUUUCAUAGUUUUGAAGUUCUUGGGCCUAGAUGUGUUUCAGAAUUCAGAAUUUUUUGGAUUUUGAAAAGAUGAUCUGGUGAAUUGACUGUGUAGUGGAAGAUCAGAAGCAGAACAGCAUAAGCCACGAUGUUUAUUUCUGUAGCAAAAUGUAUGAAUAGCCACAGCAGGAAAGAUAAAAGACUAUAAAUAGCCUCACAUUAGAUCAGAUCAGAUUUUACCAAAUGAGGUUGGGUGAGGUUUUACUGCCAAUUGAGUUUAGAAAACUUCUGUUUUUUUAGUGCUACUUGGAUUUGGCAGUUGCAGUUGAGGAACUGUGGAUGUUUUCAGAUCCCAGGCACAUCUGAAUAUUGAGGGCACUAGCACAGCAGCUUGGCAGUGCUGGUGGAGACAAUCUCUGUCUUCAUGUAGCUUGUAGCUGAGGGGGUCUGAUAGAAGUUGAGCAAGUGGUUGCACUUGCUGCUGUUGGUGAAAGGUAGGUGGACUUUGCAUGGUCCCAGACAUCAAGGAAGAUAUCUUGGCAGAGACAAAAAUCAGAGUGUGCCAGGUGAGAAGAUAGGGAAGAACAGACCUGGCACAUGGGCACAUGCAGAGACCCCGAUGGUAGGGUUGGCUGUUUUGGGACCAGAUGGGAAUGUGGUAGAGUAGAACAAAGAGAAUGGGGAGAAAGGAGUGAAGUGACUGGCUAAUAUUUACAUAGUCAUGCUGGGCAUGGUUCUAAACACCUAACAUGGCUUAUCUCAUCCAGUCUUCACAGCAACCCAGUUUGAGUCUCAGAAAUGUGACGAAAUGUAGGGGAAUGCCUCUGAGCUAUGGCUUGCCUUUGUUGCUGCUGCACUGUCCUGAUGGUGGCCUGAGCAGUGCUUCCUGGAGGAGCAGGUCACCGCUGCUGGCCAGGGUCUGGGCUUGAUCAUCCUUUGGGCACAGCCAGCACUUCAGUGAAUAGAGUUCAGUCCCUCUUCUCUUUCCCGAUCCGAUUAAAUAAGUCUUUUUCUUGCACAGUCAUUUAGGAGGCAGGAAGUUGGGAGGCAGAGAAUCCUGGCCAUGAGAUUGGGAUUAAGUUCCAACAUGGACAAUAUCCUGAGGGAACAGUGAAGAAAGAAACUGACAGUGCUGGGUGCAGUGGCUCACACCUGUAAUCCCAACACUUUGGGAGGCUGAGGAGGGUAGAUCACUUGAGGUCAGGAGUUCGAGACCAGCCUGGUCUCUAUUAAAAAUACAAAAAUUAGCUGGGCGUAGUGACAGGCGCCUGUAAUCCCACCUACUCAGAAGACUGAGGCAGGAGAGUCGCUUGAACCUGGGAGGCAGAGGUUGCAGUGACCUGAGAUCAUGCCACUGUACUCCAGCCUGGGCAACAGAGCAAGACUGUCUCAAAAAAAGAAAAGUAAAGAAAGAAAACUUAAACUCUUCUGUGCAUCACUCUCUUCUUCCACAUAAAAUUUCUUAAAAAUAAAAUAUGAGAAGAUGGCCCACCACUCUGAGUAGCUUCCUCCAUCAGUAUGUCCCCAGCUGGGCACAGCAGUAAGGCUAACUGAAAUGAUGUUUACCCUGAAUUCCUUAGUCACUUGAUGACAUGUAUCUAUUGAUAUAUAGCAUAUAUGAGCCCUGAUAAAAUACGAAUUUAAUUGCACAGUUACAUGGAAAUGGACUUGAGGUUUCUGAGAAGACUGAUGUCCUGGAGUGGUGGGGGUGGUUGGUUUCUAGGAAGAAGACGAGUGGUGGUGGAUGCUGGCAGGGGCUGGGGGAGUUUCCCCAGGAGGGAGACAGAAUCCAGGCCCCUUGAGAAGCCCUUCAGGAUCAGCCCUUUUAUGCCAGAUCUGCUGGCUUGAGAGCCCAGGGCUUCAGAUUAGAUCUGAGGCCCAAGGUUUUGGCUAGGAUUAGAGAGUAGGCUCUGAGGCAGAGGGCAACUGGCAGAGCUGUUGGUAUAAGAGGGUACAUGCCUGAAGCUUUGGGGUUUGAAGGGUAAACCAGAGGCAGGACAGUCAAGGAGUUAUGGUCUGGAAUGGCAGCUGGCUGGGAACUGGGGAGUGUUUUAAAUCCUUUUAAGUAAUGUGGUAGGGCCAUGCCUUUUUCUCAUUGGUUUGUGUCCUGGU